ACGGCAGCUCCUAUUAAGAUGGAAAACACUACACAUUACACAACACUCACAUACUCUGCUUUUAUAUACAUUUUAAUGCCAAUAUGAACUGUUCAGGAAAGAGAAGGGAGAAGAAAAAGGAAGAUCUAAACAAAGAUCGUGUGGUGGGGUGUGAGAAAGUCAAAGAGAUCGGCUUGCUGGGAGGCCCCAUGAUCUGGAGGAGAUUCCAUUGAUUCAAUUCAAGUACAUUGAUGAGUCAGAGGGCGGGUGCAUUCAUGAAUUUGUCUGUUGCAUACAUAGAGAAUUGAAGGGAGUUGAAGAGAGGGGUGGGUCUGGUCUGUUGUGGGAUCCACGUAAACAAUUUUGGUAUUUUAGUAAAGACGCGGCGAAGCGAAUGGAUCAGAAUUGGAGAAUGAUUGUGUGUGUUUUACUUGAUAUUAUAUUUAUUAAUACAGCCUACAGGUACGUGAUCAGUGAUGGUAUUGUAUUUUGGCUUAGCUUUUGUCAAAAGAAAAAAACAAGAACAAUAGGAAUCGCCGAAUAGGUGUUGGUUUGGUGGUGAUAAUGCCGUGGAACCCACUUCCAUUGUCUGGUGGGUCCUGCUGACGUGCAACGCACCACCAAAUUUCAUUGUUAAAUUUGGAUACUUGUAUUAUAGAAA